rnacentral:tRNA from 1 species
AGCCUAGUAGUUAAGGCUAUGGAUCGCCAAUCCAGAGACGGCGGGUUCGAUUCCCGU